AACCAGCACCUCAAGUGGUCAGGAUGAUUAUUGGGCCUAAAGCAUCCGUAGCCUGUUUUGUAAGUCUUCGGUUAAAUCCAUCAACUCAAGUGAUGGGCUGCCGGAGAUACUGCAAAACUAGGGAAUGGGAGAGGUAGACGGUACUCGGUAGGAAGGGGUAAAAUCCUUUGAUCUAUUGAUGACCACCUGUGGCGAAGGCGGCCCCCUGGAUUGAUACUGACGCUGAGGUGCGAAGGCGUGGGGAGCAAACAGG
rnacentral:rRNA from 1 species